AUAGAACUCAGUACCACGGGCCAUUCCACCUUUAUAAUGCCCAAAACACUUCAAACCUAAUGACGAAAUAAACCAUUGAAGCAAUCCGGCAGCGUAGUAGAGACGACGUGUAUGUACACCAUGUUUACGACGGCAAGAAGCAGCAGCCUGGUCAAGCUUGUUUAUUUACAGUGGCAGGGGGCAGCUGCUUAGGCAGAGCCGAAGGUGUUCUCGCCACUGUAAGUCAUGUAGAGGAAGCCGUCCUCGUCCUUGUUCU
rnacentral:lncRNA from 1 species